rnacentral:hammerhead_ribozyme from 1 species
GCACUGCUGAGGAGUCCUAUACUAGGACGGAACGGCCGUUCAGUAC